AGGGUUUGAUCCUGGCUCAGGAUGAACGCUAGCGGCAGGCUUAAUACAUGCAAGUCGAACGGGAUUGGGGGCUUCGGCCCCCAUGAGAGUGGCGCACGGGUGCGUAACGCGUAUGCGACCUGCCUGGAACAGGGGGAUAGCCCCUCGAAAGAGGGAUUAACACCGCAUAAAAUAGUACAGUGGCAUCACUGAGCUAUUAAAUAUUUAUAGGUUCCAGAUGGGCAUGCGUGUCAUCAGCUAGUUGGCGAGGUAACGGCUCACCAAGGCGACGAUGACUAGGGGAUCUGAGAGGAUGACCCCCCACGCUGGUACUGAGACGCGGACCAGACUCCUACGGGAGGCAGCAGUAAGGAAUAUUGGUCAAUGGGGGCAACCCUGAACCAGCCAUGCCGCGUGCAGGAAGACGGCCCUAUGGGUUGUAAACUGCUUUUAUACGGGAAUAAACCCCUUUACGUGUAGAGGGUUGAAGGUACUGUAAGAAUAAGGAUCGGCUAACUCCGUGCCAGCAGCCGCGGUAAUACGGAGGAUCCGAGCGUUAUCCGGAUUUAUUGGGUUUAAAGGGUGCGUAGGCGGCUUGAUAAGUCAGUGGUGAAAGUUUGCGGCUUAACCGUAAAAUUGCCAUUGAUACUGUCGGGCUUGAGUACAGAUGAGGUAGGCGGAAUGUGUCAUGUAGCGGUGAAAUGCAUAGAUAUGACACAGAGCACCGAUUGCGAAGGCAGCUUACUAAAGUGUAACUGACGCUGAGGCACGAAAGCGUGGGGAUCAAACAGGAUUAGAUACCCUGGUAGUCCACGCCCUAGACGAUGAUUACUCGAUGUCGGCGAUAGACAGUCGGCGUCCAAGCGGAAGCGUUAAGUAAUCCACCUGGGGAGUACGGUCG
rnacentral:rRNA from 1 species